CCCGGCGACCGGCGCACGGUGAGUAACACGUAUGAAACCUGCCCGUAGCAGGGGGAGUAAGACGGAAGAAAUUCCGUCUAAUACCGCGUAACAACCCAUGGAGGCAUCUCUGUGGGUUUAAAGGAAGCGAUUCCGGCUACGGAUGGUCAUGCGUCGCAUUAGCCUGUUGGCGGGGUAACGGCCCACCAAGGCGACGAUGCGUAGGGGUUCUGAGAGGAAGGUCCCCCACACUGGUACUGAGACACGGACCAGACUCCUACGGAAGGCAGCAG
rnacentral:rRNA from 1 species